GGCGAACGGGUGAGUAAUACAUCGGAACGUGCCCAGUUAGUGGGGGAUAGCCCGGCGAAAGCCGGAUUAAUACCGCAUACGACCUACGGGUGAAAGCGGGGGACCGCAAGGCCUCGCGCUAUCGGAGCGGCCGAUGUCAGAUUAGGUAGUUGGUGAGGUAAAGGCUCACCAAGCCUGCGAUCUGUAGCUGGUCUGAGAGGACGACCAGCCACACUGGGACUGAGACACGGCCCAGACUCCUACGGGAGGCAGCAGUGGGGAAUUUUGGACAAUGGGCGCAAGCCUGAUCCAGCCAUGCCGCGUGC
rnacentral:rRNA from 1 species